rnacentral:rRNA from 1 species
UUAAGCAUAUCAAUAAGCGGAGGAAAAGAAACCAACAGGGAUUGCCUCAGUAACGGCGAGUGAAGCGGCAACAGCUCAAAUUUGAAAUCUGGCGCCUUCGGCGUCCGAGUUGUAAUUUGUAGAGGAUGUUUCGGCGAGGGCUCCCGUCUAAGUCCCUUGGAACAGGGCGUCGCAGAGGGUGAGAAUCCCGUAUGUGAUGGGUUGCUCGAGCCAUGUGAAACUCCUUCGACGAGUCGAGUUGUUUGGGAAUGCAGCUCUAAAUGGGAGGUAAAUUUCUUCUAAAGCUAAAUACCGGCCAGAGACCGAUAGCGCACAAGUAGAGUGAUCGAAAGAUGAAAAGCACUUUGGAAAGAGAGUUAAAAAGUACGUGAAAUUGUUGAAAGGGAAGCGCUUGCAACCAGACUCGCGCGCAGUUGCUCAGCCGGUCUCCUGACCGGUGUACUCUUCUGCGUCCGGGCCAGCAUCAGUUCGGGCGGUCGGAUAAAGGCCUCGGGAAUGUGGCUCCCCUCGGGGAGUGUUAUAGCCCGGGGUGCAAUGCGGCCAGCCUGGACUGAGGAACUCGCUUCGGCUAGGAUGCUGGCGUAAUGGUUGUAAGCGGCCCGUCUUGAAACACGGACCAAGGAGUCUAACAUCUAUGCGAGUGUUUGGGUGUCAAACCCAUGCGCGUAAUGAAAGUGAACGGAGGUGGGAACCCUCACGGGUGCACCAUCGACCGAUCCUGAUGUCUUCGGAUGGAUUUGAGUAAGAGCAUAGCUGUUGGGACCCGAAAGAUGGUGAACUAUGCCUGAAUAGGGUGAAGCCAGAGGAAACUCUGGUGGAGGCUCGCAGCGGUUCUGACGUGCAAAUCGAUCGUCAAAUUUGGGUAUAGGGGCGAAAGACUAAUCGAACCAUCUAGUAGCUGGUUCCUGCCG